UACGUAGGGUGCGAGCGUUUGUCCGGAAUUAUUGGGCGUAAAGAGCUUGUAGGCGGUUUGUCGCGUCUGCUGUGAAAAUCCGGGGCUCAACCCCGGACUUGCAGUGGGUACGGGCAGACUAGAGUGUGGUAGGGGAGACUGGAAUUCCUGGUGUAGCGGUGAAAUGCGCAGAUAUCAGGAGGAACACCGGUGGCGAAGGCGGGUCUCUGGGCCGUAACUGACGCUGAGGAGCGAAAGCGUGGGGAGCGAACAGG
rnacentral:rRNA from 1 species